UCCUUUUCCGGGCUUAAUUAGGAGGUCCCCGUCCUCUGGAGGUGUUUGGGGUCGUGUUCCGGGCUCUGGGGGUGUUUGGUAAAGAGAUCCGGGUUCUGGCGUCUUUUUCCGGGUUCAAUUCGGCCGUUGUGGGCCUCUGGAGGUGUUUGGGACCGUGUUCCGGGCUCUGGGGGUGUCUGGUAAAGAGAUCCGGGUUCUGGCGUCUUUUUCCGGGUUUAAUUCGGCCGUUGUGGGCCUCUGGAGGUGUUUGGGACCGUGUUCCGGGCUCUGGGGGUGUCUGGUAAAGAGAUCCGGGUUCUGGUGUCUUUUUCCGGACUUAAUUCGGCCGUUGUGGGCCCCUGGAGGUGUUUGCGGACCUCCGCGGGUAAAAUAAUAGAAUUAAAAAAGAAUUAAAGUUUCCAGUCGGGACGAUAAGGAGGGCAAAAAAGUUUUUUUCGGACAAUGCAGAGGAAAGCCCUAAAAAAUCCUGGGGAUUUUUGGAUCGCUUCGAUAAUUUUUUUUUUAGCUGACAUCACUGGGCCACCAGGUCGCAGAUUUCAGAAACCUGGUUUUCGGAAACAGAGAUCUCCAGGACAGGGCCCCGGGCUUCGGGGGGAGCGUUCCUCAGCUGGACCUAAGCAUAGUGGGCCAGGCCCCGGGCGGAAAGCGGCUCCUGGAGCCGAGAUACGGGGGUGGCUCCCCACGCGACUAACCCGAUUUCGGAGCACUAUUUUCGGACGCUGAUGGCAGAGCAGCAGGUGCACUGGAUGGAGGAAAAUAACAGCUCCAGAGAGCGGCAGAACCCAGACCAUAUCCCAGAACGGCACUUUAUUCCCGGACAGUGAUGGCAGAACAGCAGGUGUACCCCAUGGAUGAAUACACAGUUCCAGAGAGCGGCAGAACCCAGACCAUAUCCCAGAACGGCACACUAUUCCCGGACAGUGAUGGCAGAACAGCAGGUGUACCGCAUGGAUGAAUACAGAGUUCCAGAGAGCGGGAGAUCCCAGACCAUGUCCCAGAACGGCACACUAUUCUCGGACAGUGAUGGCAGACCAGCAGGUGUACCGCAUGGAUGAAUACACAGUUCCAGAGAGCGGGAGAUCCCAGACCAUGUCCCAGAACGGCACACUAUUCCCGGACAGUGAUGGCAGACCAGCAGGUGUACCGCAUGGAUGAAUACAGAGUUCCAGAGAGCGGGAGAUCCCAGACCAUGUCCCAGAACGGCACACUAUUCUCGGACAGUGAUGGCAGAACAGCAGGUGUACAUUAUGGAUGAAUACAGAGUUCCAGAGAGCCGCAGAAUCCAGACCAUGUCCCAGAACGGCACACCAUUUCCGGACAGUGAUGGCAGAACAGCAGGUGUACCGCAUGGAUGAAAAUAACAGCUCCAGAGAGCGGCAGAACCCAGACCAUGUCCCAGAACGGCACACUAUUCUCGGAUGCUGAUGGCAGAACAGCAGGUGCAGUGGACGGAUGAACACACAGUUCCAGACAGCGGGAGAUCCCAGACCAUGUCCCAGUACGGGACACUAUUCUCGGAUGCUGAUGGCAGAACAGCAGGUGCAGCGGACGGAUGAACACACAGUUCCAGACAGCGGGAGAUCCCAGACCAUGUCCCAGUACGGGACACUAUUCUCGGAUGCUGAUGGCAGAACAGCAGGUGCAGUGGACGGAUGAAUACACAGUUCCAUAGAGCGUGAUAUCCCAGACCAUGUCCCAGUACGGGACACUAUUCUCGGAUGCUAACAGCUGACUUUCUAUUGGAUUCUUCUUUGGAAUAGGACAGUUUCAGAGGCUGGAAUAACACAGACUAAAUAAAAACAUGAUAUCCUGGCAAUCCUUGGCCAGUAUGGGGAUUGAACCCAUGACCUUGG
ensembl:lncRNA